UUCAAUUUUUAAUGCAAGUAUGUACAGUGAGUAAAUUUAGAUUUAGUCAUGUGAAAAAUAAUAGGGACACGACAUUGUGACCACUUUUCUUUUGUUUCUUUAAUGUUGAUAUUUUUUUUAAUACGGCUCAUUUACUAUCAAAAACCAUAUUAGUUUAAAUUUACAAUUUUGUAGAAAACUAACAAACAAAAGAACACUUAAUGGCUUAAGAAACCAUUUUGUCUUGCCAAGGAACAGCUCCUGAGCCUACAAAAUAGUUUGCGAAUUUAUCGCGAAGUUCCUUUGCACUUCUCGAGUAGUUGUUUGAAGACAAUUGCGUGGUUAGCUCUGCUAAGCCCCCUGAAGGAAUGCUUCUCCAAAUUCCUUGGUGAACUGCUCCUGUGUUUAUGUCUUCCUGAUCGACUAAGCCAGUUUCAUUUAAAUUGGUUGUUCGGAGCCAAUUAUGGAGAGCGCAUGCCGUUUUAAUUAUGCUGUCGGUUUUGUCUAGGGACACAGAUAUAGGCUUUCGAAAAAUUCUAUUUCUAGAAGCCAUUAUCCCAAAGGCAUUUUCAAUAAUUCGUCUAGCUCUCGACAGCCGGUAAUUGAAAAUUUUUUCUUUGUGAGGCAAUGCAUCAUGCCUGGAAUACGGCUUCAUGAUCCUCGUUGUUAAGGGGAACGCGUCAUCGCCAACGAAGACACCCUUAGUUGGUAAUCCCAACUCAUCCUCCUGCAGUUCUUUAUAAAAUCGGGACUUUUUUAAAAUGCUUGCGUCAUUCAUGCGCCCAUUCGUACCGACAAUAAUAU